CCCCUAGAUGUUCUGGGCCGCACGCGCGCUACACUGAACAGUUCAACAAGUCUUAACCUUGGCCGAUAGGUCUGGGUAAUCUUUGAACGCUGUUCGUGAUUGGGAUAGACCUUUGCAAUUAUGGGUCUUCAACGAGGAAUUCCUAGUAAACGCAAGUCAUCAGCUUGCAUUGAUUACGUCCCUGCCCUUUGUACACACCGCCCGUCGCCCCUACCGAUUGAAUGGUCCGGUGAAAUCUCGGGACGGCGGCUUGGUCGCUUGCGUCCGACUGCUGAAACUUGAUUAAACCAUAUCAUUUAGAGGAAGGUGAAGUCGUAACA
rnacentral:rRNA from 1 species